rnacentral:lncRNA from 1 species
GGGGGUUUGGAGUUUGUUUGAGGGGAGUUUGGGAUGCACGUGGGGUUCAUGGGGGCAGUUCAGGGCCCUUUGGGCUGCAGUGGGGGUACAGCAGCAGAGCUCGGGGUGCAUUUGGCGUUCUUUGGGGUAUUUUGGGGUUUUGGGGGGGGGUAUUUGGGGGCGUGCGGCCGGCCGUGAUGCGGCGCUGUCCCUGCAGCGCAGGCCUUGGUGGCCACGUCCCCCCCGAGCCACAGCCACCUGGAGGACGAGAUCUUCAACCAGUCCAGCAGCACCCCCACCUCCACCACCUCCAGCUCCCCCAUCCCGCCCAGCCCCGCCAACUGCACCACGGUCAGCGCCCAAAAUGCCCCGAAUAUCCCCCCCCCAAAUGCCCCGAAUAUCCCCCCCAAAAUGCCCCCAAUGUCCCCCCCAAAUGCCCCGAAUAUCCCC